rfam:Candidatus Altiarchaeum sp. CG2_30_32_3053 cg_3.0_sub100_scaffold_289_c, whole genome shotgun sequence.
GGGCUUGUAGUCUAGUGGUUAUGAUGUCUGCCUUACACGCAGAAGAUCCCCAGUUCGAAUCUGGGCAAGCCCA